AUGAACGCUAGCUACAGGCUUAACACAUGCAAGUCGAGGGGCAGCAUGAACUUAGCUUGCUAAGUUUGAUGGCGACCGGCGCACGGGUGAGUAACACGUAUCCAACCUGCCGAUGACUCGGGGAUAGCCUUUCGAAAGAAAGAUUAAUACCCGAUGGCAUAGUUCUUCCGCAUGGUAGAACUAUUAAAGAAUUUCGGUCAUCGAUGGGGAUGCGUUCCAUUAGGUUGUUGGCGGGGUAACGGCCCACCAAGCCUUCGAUGGAUAGGGGUUCUGAGAGGAAGGUCCCCCACAUUGGAACUGAGACACGGUCCAAACUCCUACGGGAGGCAGCAGUGAGGAAUAUUGGUCAAUGGACGAGAGUCUGAACCAGCCAAGUAGCGUGAAGGAUGACUGCCCUAUGGGUUGUAAACUUCUUUUAUACGGGAAUAAAGUGAGGCACGUGUGCCUUUUUGUAUGUACCGUAUGAAUAAGGAUCGGCUAACUCCGUGCCAGCAGCCGCGGUAAUACGGAGGAUCCGAGCGUUAUCCGGAUUUAUUGGGUUUAAAGGGAGCGUAGGCGGACGCUUAAGUCAGUUGUGAAAGUUUGCGGCUCAACCGUAAAAUUGCAGUUGAUACUGGGUGUCUUGAGUACAGUAGAGGCAGGCGGAAUUCGUGGUGUAGCGGUGAAAUGCUUAGAUAUCACGAAGAACUCCGAUUGCGAAGGCAGCCUGCUGGACUGUAACUGACGCUGAUGCUCGAAAGUGUGGGUAUCAAACAGGAUUAGAUACCCUGGUAGUCCACACAGUAAACGAUGAAUACUCGCUGUUUGCGAUAUACAGUAAGCGGCCAAGCGAAAGCGUUAAGUAUUCCACCUGGGGAGUACGCCGGCAACGGUGAAACUCAAAGGAAUUGACGGGGGCCCGCACAAGCAGUGGAGUAUGUGGUUUAAUUCGAUGCAACGCGAAGAACCUUACCAGGGCUUGACAUAUAGAGGAAUAUAUAAGAGAUUAUAUAGCUCUUCGGAGUCUCUAUACAGGUGGUGCAUGGUUGUCGUCAGCUCGUGCCGUGAGGUGUCGGCUUAAGUGCCAUAACGAGCGCAACCCUUAUCGAUAGUUACCAUCAGGUUAUGCUGGGGACUCUGUCGAGACUGCCGUCGUAAGAUGUGAGGAAGGUGGGGAUGACGUCAAAUCAGCACGGCCCUUACGUCCGGGGCUACACACGUGUUACAAUGGGGGGUACAGAAGGCAGCUACACGGCGACGUGAUGCUAAUCCCUAAAGCCUCUCUCAGUUCGGAUUGGAGUCUGCAACCCGACUCCAUGAAGCUGGAUUCGCUAGUAAUCGCGCAUCAGCCACGGCGCGGUGAAUACGUUCCCGGGCCUUGUACACACCGCCCGUCAAGCCAUGAAAGCCGGGGGUACCUGAAGUGCGUAACCGCAAGGAGCGCCCUAGGGUAAAACUGGUGAUUGGGGCU
rnacentral:rRNA from 1 species